GUAGGUGAACCUGCGGAAGGAUCAUUGUUGAAUACCUGCCCAGAGGAGAGACCUGCGAACAUGUUUCACCGUGAUAGGGGUGGAGGAUGGUAGGGAUGAGACAGUCCCUUCCUCCUUUACUCUCCUAAGGUCGUCGGUUUGCGAGCCAUCGUGGCCUUCGACCCAACAUAACAAUCGGCGUGGUUGGCGCCAAGUAAAUCAUAUAAUGGAACACGGACGUGCCAUUGUUGCGCCAUUGGCGUUGAAUGUGCCGUCUUCAAUCCAAAUCUCAUGAAUGACUCUCGACAACGGAUAUCUCGGCUCUCGCAUCGAUGAAGAACGUAGCGAAAUGCGAUACUUGGUGUGAAUUGCAGAAUCCCGUGAACCAUCGAGUCUUUGAACGCAAGUUGCGCCCUAGGCCAUUCGGCCGAGGGCACGCCUGCCUGGGCGUCACGCAUCUUGUUUGCCCGCCCUUUGUCACCCUCAUGGUGGUAGAGUGCGGAGCGGAGAUUGGCCUCCUGUGCCCCUAUUGUGGGUGUGGUUGGCCCAAAGGCAAGGCCUCCAGAGUGGCGAGUGUCAUGACGAGUGGUGGUCAAAGCCCACUUUGCCAUAGCCCGGAUGUUGUGUGCACAUCGCCUCUCUUGGGCUCUAGAGACCCUGAUCAUGUGUCGUUUUGUGACGGCACUUCAAAUGCGACCCCAGGUCAUGCGGGGCUACUCGCUGAG
rnacentral:rRNA from 1 species